CCAUGAGGAUGUCUCUGUAGAGGAGCUACUCAGCUCUCUCACUGUCUUAUCUCUCAGUUGGUUUAUCUGGUCUGUGUCAGGAUGUCACUCAUAUUACUGUUGCUCCUCUCUGCAUUUGUAGGUGAUAGUAUGGAGCAGGAAACAAUAACUCCAGUGAAGCCUGAAGUCAAUGUCCUCCAAGGAACAGACAUCACUCUCUCCUGCAACUACAAGGGCAACAUUAUCAAUCUACAAUGGUACCGUCAAUACCCCGGAUCCAGACCAGAAUGUCUACUUUUGAUCCAACAAAGCGGCAUGUUUAUACAGAAUACAUCCAUUACGACUCCACGACACACUGGUAGACUGAAUGAAGAGAAGACCCGUGUUGACUUGAUGAUCUCCUCUGUUGAAUUGGAAGACUCUGCUCUGUACCACUGUGCCUUGCAGCCCACAGUGACAGGAAACCCAGACACACUGUACAAAAACCUGUCAAGACCCUAGAGGGUGAACAGUGCAUUGUAUUCUGAUCAAUCAGUUAUCAUUUAGAGUACAUUAAUACAUACAUUUUUCCUGAAUAUCCAGAUGAAUUGAAAAAGAAGCAAGAAAACACAUUUAAUAUAAAUAUUAUUCAGGAAAUAAUAAUUCAUAUUUUCUGCAUCUUCCUGUUCUGAUAUUACAUGA